AGCCCCGUAGUAUAGCGGCCAAGUACAGCCGGCUCUGGACCGGCAGACCGCGGUUCGAUUCCGCGCGGGGCUA
rnacentral:tRNA from 1 species